rnacentral:rRNA from 1 species
AUUGAACGCUGGCGGCAGGCCUAACACAUGCAAGUCGAGCGGAGCGGCGGACGGAUGAGUAAUGCCUAGGAAUCUGCCUGGUCGUUGGGGAUAACGUACGGAAACGGGCGCUAAUACCGCAUACUAUCAGAUGAGCCUAGGUCGGAUUAGCUAGUUGGUUGGUUAAAGGCCUACAAAGGGCACGAUCCGUAACUGGUCUGAGAGGAUGAUCAGUCACACUGGAACUGAGACACGGUCCAGACUCCUACGGGAGGCAGCAGUGGGGAAUAUUGGACAAUGGGCGAAAGCCUGAUCCAGCCAUGCCGCGUGUGUGAAGAAGGUCUUCGGAUUGUAAAGCACUUUAAGUUGGGAGGCGUUACCAACAGAAGAAGCACCGGCUAACUCCGUGCCAGCCGCCGCGGUAAUUC